GCCCGGGUGGCGGAAUGGCAGACGCAGUUGACUUAAAAUCAACUUUCGAAAGGAGUGCGGGUUCGAAUCCCGCCCCGGGCACCA
rnacentral:tRNA from 1 species